rnacentral:rRNA from 1 species
AAGCUUGCUUCUCUUGAGAGCGGCGGACGGGUGAGUAAUGCCUAGGAAUCUGCCUGGUAGUGGGGGAUAACGUUCGGAAACGGACGCUAAUACCGCAUACGUCCUACGGGAGAAAGCAGGGGACCUUCGGGCCUUGCGCUAUCAGAUGAGCCUAGGUCGGAUUAGCUAGUUGGUGAGGUAAUGGCUCACCAAGGCGACGAUCCGUAACUGGUCUGAGAGGAUGAUCAGUCACACUGGAACUGAGACACGGUCCAGACUCCUACGGGAGGCAGCAGUGGGGAAUAUUGGACAAUGGGUGAAAGCCUGAUCCAGCCAUGCCGCGUGUGUGAAGAAGGUCUUCGGAUUGUAAAGCACUUUAAGUUGGGAGGAAGGGCAGUAAAUUAAUACUUUGCUGUUUUGACGUUACCGACAGAAUAAGCACCGGCUAACUCUGUGCCAGCAGCCGCGGUAAUACAGAGGGUGCAAGCGUUAAUCGGAAUUACUGGGCGUAAAGCGCGCGUAGGUGGUUUGUUAAGUUGGAUGUGAAAUCCCCGGGCUCAACCUGGGAACUGCAUUCAAAACUGACUGACUAGAGUAUGGUAGAGGGUGGUGGAAUUUCCUGUGUAGCGGUGAAAUGCGUAGAUAUAGGAAGGAACACCAGUGGCGAAGGCGACCACCUGGACUAAUACUGACACUGAGGUGCGAAAGCGUGGGGAGCAAACAGGAUUAGAUACCCUGGUAGUCCACGCCG